UGCAGCAUCAAUUUGAUUGCAUGUGGGAAGUGCUUGCCCCCUGAACAAUAUUCUACGAAAUUUGGUUACGUCAUGCAAGGAACGAGAAAAAACGAGAACAGUUGUGUAAAAUGUGAAUUGUUUCCGAUACGGUUGUUCCUCUGAUUGCCAGUGAUGAAAUCGAUUUUGUUAAGUAUGAUUCAAUACGGUGUUUGAAAUAGAUACGGUGUUAGAAAUUUGAUGCAGAUUUAAUCAAUCGUUAGUGCAUAAUCUGUUUUGCUGUGCAAUUAAGUUCAAUGAAGAGAAUGCAGCGAACGUGGGGGCUCAAUAAGAGUUAGUACUUCCAGUCAGAGAUCAGAUAAGUAUUUUAUUGAACC